rnacentral:lncRNA from 1 species
AUGCACAAAGAAAGCCCCCCUCGAUAGUUUUCCGAACGAACAUUCGGGUGGCUAUUGUUGUCAACUUUACGGUCUCAAUUGAUCUCGUCCACUGGCUGUAACUUAUCUUUUUAUAUUAAUGUUGGCGCUAGUAUUAAAGACUUUUCAAUAAUAAACUCUUCAUCUUCUCUUUGAUACCUUUCUUAGACCUAGACUUCAAUCUCUCUAUACUCCUCUUUCAUCUUCUUCCUUCUAUUUAACACCUUCUCAAACCUAGUCUCGAGUCUCUUAGUUCCUCUUCCAUCUUCUUUCCUAUGGUUUCUAUUAGGAUUCUUCCCUUUGCUCAAUAUUCUAGAAAAGACUUUUGUCUAGUUUGGCCAUUGGUGUCAAUCUUAUGGUCCUAAUUAAUCUCUUCCAUUUGCUCUAGAUUGUCUUUUCACAUAAAAGUUGCCGUCCAUAUUAAAGACUUUUUUGACAGCAAACUCUUCAUCUUCUCUUCGAUACCCUUCUUAGACCUAGACUCUGGUCUCUCUAUAUUUCGCCUUCAUCUUUUUCCAGCUCUUCGACACCCUUCUCAAACUAGGUCUUCGAUCUCUCAAUUCCUCUUUUAUCUUCUUCCCUAUGGCGUCUACUA